rnacentral:tRNA from 1 species
GGCGGGUUGCCCGAGCGGCCAAAGGGAGCGGUCUGUAAAACCGUCGGCUACGCCUACACUGGUUCGAAUCCAGUACCCGCCACCA